AUCACAAACUCUUGGCUGUGUAGUGAGAGAGCAUCCUCAUAAAUAGUACACAAACAAUAAUUAUAAGCUAUAAAGUGAAUACAGGAGUAAUAGAAUUGUGAGUGCAUUUGUAGCAAUUAAGGACAAACAAGAUGAAAAGUGCAUGAAUCAAAAUUUGCAAAAAAUCCAAUCUUGAUCUAAAUCCAUUCAAAUUUUAACACGAGAUAGGAGCAUGUAUGUAAUGUAGUACACUAAUUAUCCAUGUGUAGUUGUUUGCAUUUAGUAUAAUUUAUAAAUCAAUUCUUGGCAUCUAUAGGUCGACCUAAAGCUUGUUGAAAGGCUUAGAUCUGUUACCAUUUGGUCCUCAUGAUUUUGUGAAUAUAAAGGCAUCCAUUAAAGUCUCAUUUACAGAGAAUGGAAUUAUAUUUGGAAAUAUUGUGUAUGAUAUAGUUGGAUCUACUUCUGAUCAUAAUUGUGUUAUACUCAAUGACAUUCAUAUUGAUAUAAUGGAUUACAUACAACCAGCUAAUUGCACUGAUAACUCAUUCAUUGCUUUCAGUUAUUCUGUUUUCAUAAUAAGAUCUAAUAUCAAAAUUA